rnacentral:rRNA from 1 species
UAAUACAGAGGGUGCAAGCGUUAAUCGGAAUUACUGGGCGUAAAGGGCGCGUAGGUGGGCGAAUAAGUCAGAUGUGAAAGCCCUGGGCUUAACCUAGGAACUGCAUUUGAUACUGUAAGUCUAGAGUGGAGUAGAGGGUAGCGGAAUUCUCGGUGUAGCGGUGAAAUGCGUAGAUAUCGGGAAGAACACCAGUGGCGAAGGCGGCUACCUGGGCUCCAACUGACACUGAGGCGCGAAAGCGUGGGGAGCGAACAGGAUUAGAUACCCUGGUAGUCCACGCUGUAAACGAUGAAAACUAGCUGUUGGUGGGUUUCGACCUGUCGGUAGCGAAGCAAACGCGAUAAGUUUUCCGCCUGGGGAGUACGGCCGCAAGGCU